rnacentral:rRNA from 1 species
AUGGCCACUUGCCUCUCCGAUAUCAUCAGUGACCAUUCCGUUGACUUCCUUGGAUUACAAGAAACCUUGAAGAAGGAUUUUACUCCUAGACUUCUUAGAAAACUUGAUCCCUUCAAUUCGUUCCAUUGAGAAUGGAUUCCUGCUAUCGGGAAAUCUGGGGGCAUCCUCUGUGGUAUUCGCAUUAGCAACCUAGAGUUGCUAAAUUGCACCAAAGGGGAUUAUGUCUUGCAAAUGCAUGUUAGAGACCUUAAGACCAAAAAUAUCUGGAGCUUCCUAGUGGUUUAUGGUUCUACUCAUGAGGAGCGCAGAGGAGAGUUCUUGAUGGAGCUGGCCUCCUUUUGUCACAACAUUGACGUUCCUUAUAUAGUUGGGGGCGACUUCAAUAUCUUGAGACAUAAUGGAGAGAAAAACAAAAGGAUGCACAGAUCUAAAUUUGUUGAUCUCUUCAACUCAAUCAUUAACACUCUGGGGUUUAGAGAAAUCUAUAUGAGUGGUGGCAAAUACACUUGGUCCAAUAACCAGUCCCAUCCUACUCUUGAAAAACUUGAUCGUGUGUUAAUGUCUGACUCCUGGGAGGAGAUGUUUCCCUUGGUCUCUAUGAGAAAAUUGGUUAGGGAGCUAUCUGACCACAAUCCUCUUCUGCUCUAUCCUGAUGGGGAAAAAGAGCGCCUACUAAAUCCCGAGAAUUUCGCUUUGACCUAUCCUGGCUAA